CCUACGGGUUGCAGCAGUGGGGAAUAUUGCACAAUGGGCGCAAGCCUGAUGCAGCCAUGCCGCGUGUAUGAAGAAGGCCUUCGGGUUGUAAAGUACUUUCAGCGGGGAGGAAGGCGAUAAGGUUAAUAACCUUGUCGAUCGACGUUGCCCGCAGGAGAAGCACCGGCUAACUCCGUGCCAGCAGCCGCGGUAAUACGGAGGGUGCAAGCGUUAAUCGGAAUUACUGGGCGUAAAGCGCACGCAGGCGGUCUGUCAAGUCAGAUGUGAAAUCCCCGGGCUCAACCUGGGAACUGCAUUCGAAACUGGCAGGCUAGAGUCUUGUAGAGGGGGGUAGAAUUCCAGGUGUAGCGGUGAAAUGCGUAGAGAUCUGGAGGAAUACCGGUGGCGAAGGCGGCCCCCUGGACAAAGACUGACGCUCAGGUGCGAAAGCGUGGGGAGCAAACAGGAUUAGAUACCCGAGUAGUC
rnacentral:rRNA from 1 species